AUGAGAAGGAUGGUUACCCUGAGUUACAACCAUUUGCCCUCUCAUCUUAAGUCAUGUUUUUUGUAUUUAAGCAUAUUUCCUGAGGAUUAUGAAAUCAAAAGGAGGUGUCUGGUUGAAAGAUGGAUAGCCGAGGGCUUUGUUAUAGCCAUGCAUGGGGUCAGUGUUAUAGAUGUUGGGAAUAGUUACUUUGAUUGCCUGAUAAAUCGAAGCAUGAUCCAAUCAUCAAGUGUGAACAUAGAGGGAACUGUGAAGAGUUGUCGAGUCCAUGAUAUCGUUCGUGAUGUCAUGAUCUCAAUUUCUAGAGAUGAAAGAUUUGCAUGCUCGACAUGGGAUAAUGUGAGUGCAAUAACAGGGGAGAACUUCCGUCAUGUAGCAUAUCAUGGUGGUGAGCACCCAAAUAAAAGCAUGGAUUGGGGGCAUGUCCGGUCAUUAACAAUUUUUGGUGAGAGAUACAUGAAGCCGGCCCAUUCGCUUUUUUUUCCCGACUUCAAGAUGCUUAGGACCUUGGACUUACAUGAUGCCCAUUUUGAACUCACACAAACAGAAUCCAAUGCUUUAGGGUUGUUACAUCAUUUGAAAUAUGUCAAUAUCAUUGGCCAUCCUGGUGAAGGUUUAUAUGUUCACAAGCUCCCAAGGUCCAUAGGUAAACUACAGGGCUUGCAAACUUUGGACAUUCACAAUAGUUAUAUCGCAUCACUACCAACUGAGAUCACAAAACUACAAUGCCUUCGUAGCCUCCGAUUCAGGAAAAGAAAUAUGCGUCAUAUUUUAUGCCUACAUUACCCUAAGAUCUGCUUCAUGUCCGCAUUUUGUAUGCCUUUUGUGUUCAGUCCUUUAGUUAGUCAUGCCGAUCGUAUGAAAUUUAUGAUGGAUUUUCACAUGGUCCGGACUGGCUGUUUGUCCAACUCCAAUGGUGUGAGGGUGCCCAGAGGGAUCAACAACUUGAAGGAGUUAGAGAUACUAGAGUAUGUUGACAUUCAGCGAACUAGUAGGAAAGCAGUUAAAGAGCUUGGGGAGCUAAUAAAGCUAAGAAAGCUGAGUGUUACAGUAGGGGCAAGCAAGCAAAAGAGCAAGAUACUGUGUGAAUCUAUUGAGAAGCUCACUUCCCUCCGCUCUCUUUAUGUGGAAUCUACUCCUUGGGGAAGUGGUAUCAAGUGGUUGCAUUCUAUUUCCUCUGUCCCCCCUCUCUUGAGGUCGUUGACUCUGCAUGGUGAUCUUGGGGAGAUGCCUGACUGGUUUGGGGAUCUAGUGCAUUUGGUGAAGAUUUUCUUAUGGUCAAGCCAUCUAGCAGAAGGAGAUAAAAGUAUGAAAAUACUGGGCGCACUUCCCAAGCUCAUGUCCCUUAAUCUUUGUUAUGGCUCUUAUGCUACAGAAAAACUAGUCUUCAAACAAGAAACAUUCUUAAACCUCAGGUAUCUUAGUUUUUUCUGUGAGUCUCAACCGAGAGAGUUGAUAUUUGAGGAAGGCACCUCGCCCCAGUUGGAAAAGAUAAAAAUCGUACAGGGCAGGUUGGAAUCAGGGGUUACUGGUAUCAAACACCUUCCAAGACUCAAGGAGAUUUGGAUUAGUCACGCUGCUCAAGUUGCGAGGCUUGGUGUGCUGGAAGGUGAGGUUAACGCCCACCCCAACCGUCCUGUGCUGCGACUUUCCUUGGAACGACGCCACCAUGACCUGGAUCAGCACAUCGUCGAAGGAUCCGGUGUACAAGCGGAAGCAACGGUGGAGUCAUCCGUUGCGGCGGGAGAGGACAGCGACAGCGAAGAUGACCUGCGCUGA
rnacentral:rRNA from 1 species